GUAGCGUUUGUAGUCCAACGGUUAGGAUAAUUGCCUUCCAAGCAAUAGACCCGGGUUCGACUCCCGGCAAACGCAAUUUUUUUUAUCCUUUAAUCAUUUUUUGUUUAUUUUAUCCUACAACUGUUGUGUAAAUAAUGAUGAGACGACGAAUGUUGUUUUUGCAUAAAUUGUUACUUCAUUAAUUGAUUGGUGUACCUGUUGUAUUUGCUUCUCCUGAUAGUUGGUCAAGUAAUAAAAAUGUUGUAUUUUCCGCCCAAUUAAGGUGUGCUGAGGUGAAUAACAAAUUCUAUCAACAAGUAGUGUUUGUAGUCCAACGGUUAGGAUAAUUGCCUUCCAAGCAAUAGACCCGGGUUCGACUCCCGGCAAACGCAG
rnacentral:tRNA from 1 species